UAAGCGUUCGUCAGAGGAGAGGUUGUUAAGGGUCGCCAGGGUCGUCGUCUACAGGGGCUACGUGGUCGGUGCGCCUGCGUCUGUACAUUGGUUCCGGUUCUGUUUGGAUGCGUUGCAGACUUCGUGGGAACCACGAAUGGUUUGCUGUGCCGAAUUCCAUCUCCGUCACUCUUUGGUAUGUGCGGUUUACAUAGGAUCGUCUGGAUCAUCUUGUGCAUCAUGGUUCCGGUUUCUCCUCCUGUAGCUGAGGAGCGGUGGUGGUUCCUGUGAGGUCUUCUGUGGGAGAUGAAAACCAGGAGGUAGUCGUCCGAGCCACCAUCUCUUCGCGUUUUCAGGUUUGUUAUAUUUAGUAUUAGUUUACUGUUGUAGUUGUGCACCCACAUGCAUGAGAUUGUU
rnacentral:lncRNA from 1 species